rnacentral:rRNA from 1 species
GACGAACGCUGGCGGCAGGCUUAACACAUGCAAGUCGAACGGGCCCUUCGGGGUCAGUGGCAGACGGGUGAGUAACGCGUGGGAACGUGCCCUUCAGUUUGGGAUAACCCAGGGAAACUUGGGCUAAUACCGGAUACGUGCGAGAGCAGAAAGAUUUAUCGCUGAAGGAUCGGCCCGCGUCUGAUUAGCUGGUUGGUAGGGUAAUGGCCUACCAAGGCGACGAUCAGUAGCUGGUCUGAGAGGAUGAUCAGCCACAUUGGGACUGAGACACGGCCCAAGCUCCUACGGGAGGCAGCAGUGGGGAAUAUUGGGCAAUGGGCGCAAGCCUGAUCCAGCCAUGCCGCGUGAGUGAUGAAGGCCUUAGGGUUGUAAAGCUCUUUCAGUGGGGACGAUAAUGACGGUACCCGCAGAAGAAGCCCCGGCUAACUUCGUGCCAGCCGCCGCCGUAA